rnacentral:rRNA from 1 species
AUGUCAUAUAGGAGCAACAACCUUGAGAUCUCACCAUUUGCUUCUAGUAAUCAUAUGCAGGGAUUUAGGUAUGAAGAGGAGAGCAACAACUAUGCACCACAACAAUUUUAUUCACCUCCUACUCAUAUACCUCAACACCAGGAGAUGUGUCCAAUGGAGUUAAAUGGUCCUCCACUUGGUCAACCAACAACUCCAGCACCUGUUGAGAAAUCUCAUGCACAAGUGCCCAGACAAGAUGACUUUGAUGAUAUAGACAAGCUCACAUUGCUUAGUCUUGAGUUCACUUGGAGUGUUGAAGAUGAUCCAAUUAGGCCGGUGAUACGAGAGGAAAUGAAGAAGAUCAAGAGUGGAAAAGAGCUAGUGGAAGAAGUUAGGAAAAUUGAGAAGAAAAUCAAUGUCGGGUGCACUAUCUCAUCCCUCCUUGAGCUGAGUGUUGCUGGGAUAUCCCUUGAGGUGUGUAAGGUUUCAAUACCAUCACAUUCAGCUGAGCAAGAUAGCGAGAGUCCAGAGGAAGAGACACUUCAAAUCCAAGAAGAAAUACUUGAAGACAAGGAACAAGAUGAUCCAGAGCUGCAAUUCCCAAGUGAUCAAGAUGAAGACAAAAGAUCUACUACUCUUGAAGAAGUAAAAGAAGCUGCUGUAGAUGAACUUGAAGAACCAGAAAUUCAUUUGCCUAUUGUCAUACAAGAGCGUGAUGAGUCAGGUUUUUCCUACUGCACCAUUUACUACAUGCUGACCAGGUUUGAGGUGACAUCCCUUGGGACCCCGGUGGAUUCAGAGCAUGGUCACGAGGAGAAGCAAGGAGCACACAUGAAGAAGAGUGAAGAUGGAGCAUGCACGAGGAAGCAAAGGAGAAGAGCUGCAGCUUAG